UACGUAGGGUCCGAGCGUUGUCCGGAAUUAUUGGGCGUAAAGGGCUCGUAGGCGGUCCGUCACGUCGGGAGUGAAAACUCAGGGCUCAACCCUGAGCGUGCUUCCGAUACGGGCGGACUAGAGGUAUGCAGGGGAGAACGGAAUUCCUGGUGUAGCGGUGAAAUGCGCAGAUAUCAGGAAGAACACCCGUGGCGAAGGCGGUCUCUGGGCCGAUACUGACGCUGAGGAGCGAAAGCGUGGGGAGCGAACAG
rnacentral:rRNA from 1 species